rnacentral:rRNA from 1 species
UCCGAAGGGGGCUAUCGUUGUUCGGAUUUACUGGGCGUAAAGCGCACGUAGGCGGCUUGUUAAGUCAGGGGUGAAAUCCCGGAGCUCAACUCCGGAACUGCCUUUGAUACUGGCAAGCUCGAGUGUAAGAGAGGUUGGUGGAACUGCGAGUGUAGAGGUGAAAUUCGUAGAUAUUCGCAAGAACACCAGUGGCGAAGGCGGCCAACUGGCUUACAACUGACGCUGAGGUGCGAAAGCGUGGGGAGAAAACAGG